rnacentral:lncRNA from 1 species
AAACUCAAUGUCACGCACCGGAUUACUCGUUUCGUCCGGCACGCCGACAAAUCCGCCGUUUACGAAGUGAUAGUUGUACUUGUACCUGUAAUCACACAACACUACAACCAGUAGUAUAGAGCUGCUAAAAAGAAAACAUAUAUAUAAAUAACAACGGUUUACUAUACAUACAUAGUAUCCUGAUACAAAAAUACUCGCUCCAGCGAGAAACUAACAUCAGUAUGUAAAUGAACCAAAAACUAUAACUACCUGUAGCUGGUAAGUCUCUAGAUUAGCAGUAAAACGGGAAGGGAUCUAACUCGCGACUCCCUUUCCACGAU